UUCUAUUAAAAGGGAACCUGGCGUUCGUGUGUUCUUUUGCCUCCUAAGUGUGUGGGCGUCGUGGGUAACGUCUCUUGUCUCGCGGCCGCAAGGAACCGCUCGCUACGAAGAGGUGGGAGUGGUGAACCAGUGAGACGAGGACGAGGACCACCGACGUCGCUCGCCGCUGCCGCACGUCAAGUGGAUAUUGCCGAAGCGCCCGCACUUGGACUGCGAGCUGCCGCGCCAGCAGUACGGGUUGCCGGACGAGUACGACUGGUUGCCGUGGUAAGUCUGCUUUCCGGUCCGGAAGGUGGGCAGGGGGGACGGCAAGGCGCCGCUGCCCCUCCGCUUGCCGUGGCCGCGGCGCGCCAGGAAGAGCUGGUGAAAGCAGAAGCGGUAAAAGCCCGUCAUGCGCCUGGACUCGUCGGUGCCGUACCGGAAGAAGCAGAGGCGCAGGUCCCUCGACGAGAGGUGCCGCUACGGUCCGGUCAAGGACCCGGAGGAGUUGCUGUGGCUGCCGCCUUUGGCCUCGCUGGUGUAGAAGCGGCACCUCGAGCUGUGCGAGAAGUUGCGGCUCAAGGCACUGUAGUUGUCGUUAGUGCAGCCGCAGCUGCAGCUAUCGGACCAAAGCCAGCGAAGGUGGCUGCGGCCCAUGAUGCUGCUGCCGUGGCCCUGCAAGGCCUUGGAUUCGGAUUAGUCGGCCCUCCGGUACGUUCACACCCACCUGAUGUUGCCGCCGCGGUCCCUCCAGCGGCACUGGCACCGAGGGGACCCGUACCGGUCCGGGUUCUUCGGGGAAGAGUCCUGGCGGCAGUUGGAGAGCCCGCACCACGUCUCGUGCUACAACCAGCCUAAGAGCAGCCGGUGUCCACAGGAGUGGUGUGCGGUGAAGCAGGAGCCGACCUCGAAGCGCGACCUGCACCGUCGGGGCCGUGACCUGUGGAGCCGCGACGGCCGGAACGGUGCCCGGACCGGUUUCGGUGCCAGGUCCCACGACCACUAGCACGACGGGUAUCGCAACCGUCGAGACCAAGAGCAAGACCCGUAGCCUCACAUGUAGAAACAUGCUGCCGAAGAGUUCAAGAGCCUCGACGCGCUCCUGACCCUCCUGCGCAAGCCGGGGGUGGCUAAGAGUAUGUUUCUUAACAUAGUACGCUGGUUCCCCAAGUCGCUGUUCUUGGACGAGCCCCGUCCUCCGAAGCCUUCACACAUGUCCCCGUUCGAGGCGUUCGGCCUGUACCUCCAGCGGCAUUUCUCCCACAGAGUACUUAGUUCCGUCCCCUACUUCCUCAAGCAGCGGCUCCACCGUUCGUAGCCUGCCGAUGCCGUGGCCUUGGAGCACGGUAACGAACCGAUAACGGCCGCGUUUCCCCUUGAAGAGGACCAAAUGCUAAUGUACGGUUUACCUUCGGAACUAUUUAUGAACAUACUACCUGGUAGUCGUCCAUGUGACCUAACCGGAGUUUCUAAAGUGUAUUAGUCUCCCCACCGAAGACCCAAUGACAUAGAGGUACUCCUAACCCUCGUUCAACAGUAGGUGGCUCUACACUUCCGUUCGUUAUAAGAAGAUCUGUCGCUCUACUUACCCGCCAAUCCCCUAAAGCCGGAACGUUCCGACAUGCUGGUACCUCGCCUGCGGGUUUGCUGCGUACACCAACCGUGGUACCCGAUGGAGCGAGGACUCGAACCUGUGUGGCCGUUCCGUUGGGGCAGGUGGCUACACAAGCGGAAGCCACGUAAGGAAGACCUUUAGUGCACACCCGCCUCCGGUUAGCUCGUUUUGCUCGUGGUGUUGGCGUAGCACGAGCACCUAAGCCACUAGCUCGUUACCGCGUUCCCAAACUAGGAACCGCGUCACCUAUGCUCCUAAGGUUCACCCAAAUCAGGCCUGUACCAGAGCGACCACGACUUUGAACGCAACAAUACGAGCGUGGGUAACGGAUUGCCUUCCGGUUGGUACGCCGUCCAGUACGUCAUGGAGCUGCCGCUGUACCAGGAGGGCCUGAACAGCAGCCGCAUGGAGUCAAAGUGGUACGACCUCGCCUACAUACUACCCCUGAAGUUGGUCUUUUACAACGGUAUGCGUAGUAGUUGCUCGUACCCACGUCAAAGACUAGAGAGACCUCCUUCCACUGUUACAAGAACGCCAUUCAUCCUAACACAUUGAUUGAUAAUUGACUGGUCACCGAUGAUAUAUGUGUAGAUGAUCAUACGACAUGAGUAAAAUGGACUUUACAUACUGGACUACGAAAUGGAUUAAAUACCAACUUAACGUAUAUUUGUCUUGUUACGUUAGUUUGUUCACUGUACGCAAAAAGGG
rnacentral:rRNA from 1 species